rnacentral:lncRNA from 1 species
ACUGUUGCCGUGGAUGGGUCCCUGAGACUUUGCGAAGUAGGAGCCCUGUGUGAUAGUGCGUCAGAGUCGGGCCUGAGAGCAGUCCUGGCCAGGGCUUUAACAGGAUGGUCUCCGGAGCCUGGGAUUCUCGGAGGGCUGACCACCAGGAAGAAACCUCAGAAGGUAGAAACCUCAGGCGGAUCGCCGGGCGGCAGCGCGAGAUCCCAGCCUCAGGCCCGGAUUCGGGAAGGGUCGACGAAGCCCUUUUCCCAAUCUUCACUUCACCCGCCGCCGCCCCAGUCCCCGCAGCCGCCGCUCCGCGGUCAUUUUUCUUUUCUAUCUUUUUUUUUUUAAUAGUCGGAAUCUCACUCUGUCACUCAGUCGAGUGCAGUGGCGGGAUCUCAGCUGACUGCAAACUCUGCCGCCCAGGUUCAAGUGAUUCUCUUGCCUCCGCCUCCCGAGUACCUGGUACUAGAGGGAUUAGUCAGUGUCGGGGCUAAGACCAGUCCUGGCCAGGGCAUCAACAGGAUAGUCUCUGGAGGCCGGGAUUCACGGAGGGUCGUCCAGGAGGAAGAAACUGCAGGUGGAGGGCCGGGCAAGCAGCGCGGGAUCCCAGGUUCAGGCCUGCACGGACGGUGUGCCAGUGAGUCUCUUCAAAAAAGGAGAGGUUUGCUUGUGUGCCCGUGGGCUGCUCUCUCACUAGUGGGUUGUAGUCGUGGAGAGCAGAACCCUGAAAAUUCAGGGGCUGCCUGGGUGUAGGUGUUACCGUGCCACUGCUGUAUGUCUGUGCGUUUGUGUGUGUGCGUAUGUCUCUCUCUUGUUUCUCUCUCUCCCUUUUCUCACUCUUUUGCUCUGUGUCCCUGUGUGCGUGUGUGUGUGUGUGUGUUGGGACAUAUGUGCCCUGUGCGCCAGAGGACGGUAUCUUCUACGUCCGCCUUUCUUGUGGUCAGCCUCUCCCCGCGUCUCUGCCUGGCUUGCGUGGCCCGUUGUCAGUCAUUUUUCUGGCGGUUCCAGUUUAGGUUUGUGAAGGUCCAGAUGAGAUGGGGAGCUGCGUCUCUCUCAUAAGAAUUUAAAUCACCUCCCCACCCUGAGAGGCCUCUUUUCCAGGAUAAAGGCCUCCACCCCCAAGCCAAGGAUAAUAGCCUCACCGGAGAGGUCAUUGUCUACCUGCAGGAGCAGUGCAGAGCGACCUGAAAGAAGGUGGUUCUCAUUCGUCUCUCUCUUUCAUCUCCUUGAGAAAUCUAGCCACAGGGUAACACAGGUUUUGAGAGGAUGGGAACGGGACGUGGCAAGGAUCUGUGAGUGUGCAGGCUGUGUUUCACAUAUCAUUAAACAUAGUCUAGUGAGGGUUCUGCAGAUAACUGGCAUUUAAGUUUGUUUUAUUGAAUCAAGGAAAAAGAAAAAAUACUGAGAAAAAAAUGACGCAACUUGCCUGCCAGCCCAUCUGACUGUUACAAAUUUAAUAGUAAUUUUAAUUUAUCAUCUCAUGUAAAGGUCCUUGGCAGUGAUACCUAAUUUCCUAAGAUAGCCUUGCUUUAUAUUGUGUGAUUAAGAUGUCAUGCAUAUCAGAGUAUCUGGAAAUUCUUCCCAACGUCCUUUACAUACGUGAUUAAUCACAUUUCCAAAAUAACAUACCAAAACGAAUAACAGAAAAUCAUUUUAAGUUGUGGUUCCUUCAUGCACAAAACAUUUCAUGUGUGUCUGGCCCUCUUCCGGCCACAGAUUUCAUCUUAACCUAAGUAUUGAAAUGCUUGUGCCCUUUGAUUAAUUUUUCUGUGUAAAUACUUUGAUAAUAAGCUACAUUGAGGCCGGGUGCAGUGGCUCACACCUCUCAUCCCAGUUCUUUGGGAGGCUGAGGCCAGCGGAUCACGAAGUCAGGAGAUCAAGACCAUCCUGGCCAACACAGUGAAACCCUGUCUCUUCAAAUAUACAAAGAAUUAGCCAGAGAAGCAGGGAAUCUGGAAUUUUGGGUGAAAUGUCUGUUUCCAGAAGCUGAAAAUGCUCUCAAAUGGAAAAUUCAGGUAAGAUUGGGGAAGAUGCCAGGUGAUAGAAUCCACCCUGCCUCUGACAGCAUCCAAUCUGGAGCAAAGGCUUCUUUCAACCUUCCCCCAAGCUCCCAAUACAAGCCCAAAUUCUGGAACAAGUCCUUUCCAACACCUCCUUCAGAGAAGCUCCCUGGCUCCAGGCAGUGCUUGCUCCCCUCACUGCAGCAGGAAGCCUAACUUGCGAACUGCAGGUGUGCUCCAGGUGGUCACUGGAUGCAAGGUAUUGACAGAUGGAUCCCAUUGAUACCCCCACUGCAUAACCAUGUAAGCCUAUCAUCCCCCACUUGCACAUGAGGAAACGGAGGUCCACAGGGUGGGGAAGGGAAGACAUAAUUUGUCCUUCAAAUGCGAUACCGGUGAGAUGUGAGAGGCAGCAUCCCUCAUAACUCAGCAAGGCAGUGGGCACACUAGGACCCUCCCAGGCAGAUCGGGUGCGUGGUCGCCCCCAUUGCAUAGCAUGGGUGGGAGUUGGGGAGACCAGACAUGGGUCUCACCACCUCUGCACUGGCCCGACCUCUCUGCAGGCCCCCAGGACAGGGUUAGCAUCUGCUUGCUGGCAGGCCUGGCCACCAGAAGUAUUUGCUUAUGUCUAAGGUCCCUGUAGUUGUGGUUCACAGGAUUGGGGCUGCUCCUGAGAUUCAGCACCACACAGGCACUGCAUGGAACUGUGCUAUGGUGGUGGGCACUCGCUUUCCAGAUAGGGCCCAUGUUGCCAGCAGGCAUGAUGCAUCAUUUACCCUACCCUGAGUGCAAUAUGUGGUUUUAUAGAAAAAAACUUGGGCCAGAUGCGGUGGCUCACACCUGUAAUCCCAGCAGUUUAGGAGGCCAAGGUAGGCGGAUCAAAAGGUCAGGAACUCAAGACCAGCCUGGCUAAUAUAGUGAAACCUUGUCUCUAUGAAAAAUACAAGAAUUAGCCAGAUGUGGUGGUGGGCACCUGUAGUCCCAGCUACACCGGAUACUCCGGAGGCUGAGGCAGGAGAAUCGCUUGAACCCAGGAGGCAGAAGUUGCGGUGAGCCAAGAUCAUGCCACUGCACUCCAGCCUAGGCGACAGAGCAAAACUCCUUCUCAAAAAAAAAAAAAAAAAAAAAAAAAAGAAAGAAAAGGAAAAGUAUUUGUAGAUGAAUGAAGGUGAUUCCUUUGAAUAUUGAAAAUGAUUUUAUUUUAGCCAUUGGUCUGACACUCAUUCCGAUGGGGUGACAUGUGUCCCUGCCUUAGUCAUCAGAGCACAGGAGUUUGCUACACCUCCCCUCAUCUGAAGAUUCAGCCCAUGAGCAGGAACGCCUGUCUUUGUGUCAUACCAACAGAGAGGAUGUGUCUGGUUUCACCAUUCACUGCAGAGGCAGAAAUUACCCAGAAAGAAGAGACAGUCUGUUCCCGGGAGUGUGUCCUUUUGACCCCGCAUGGGGGUCAUCUCCCUUCCUUGGCCAGGACCCCCAACCUGAACACAGAGGUAGAGAACAUGUGAAGGGCUCCCAUUCCCAGGUGGUCCAGGGUGCAAGCUCUGAGCCUGUGGUCCUGGUCACUGCCCUUUUCUCCACAGCAUGGCAGUCACCAUCCUGGGCUGGGGUACAGAGGGGCUUUGCAGAGAUCAGCAUAACAAAAGCAUCACUGAGAUGCUGCAAUAGGAAACCGUGAUACCUUCGUGGGCUGCCAAGGCAGCCUAAGCUAUUUGUUGCUGCACUCAGUGUCCCCAGACAGCUGUGUGGCUGUCACUGCCUCUGAUGUGUCCAUUUUACUUCUCUUCUCCUGCCUCAGCUUCUGCUCUGAACUCUGUCUCUAACUUACAAGAAAUCAAGCUCACUGGAUUCUGAGCUCUUCGGGGUCAAGGACUGUGUCAGUAGUUCAUGUCUCUUUCUAGAGAUCACAGCUUAGUAUCUGGCACAGAGCAGAUACUCAGCCAAUGCCAAAUGAUUCAUUUGCCAGAAGGCUGAAUAUCAUCCAUAAUCCUAGUCAAUGCAAAUACAUUUUGCCGGUGGGGUGUGUUUGUCCUCUGAAGGCGUUUUCCCAGGCUUUGUAAAUACAUACAGGCCAUUUAGAAAUUUGAAUGUCAAAGAGUAAAGGAGCUUAGAAAGUAAGCAUUGGAGAAGUGUGGGAGGGUGGUAUUAUUUACAAAACAUUCCUGGGUCCUUGUGAGUUCUAUACACCCUUGAUGAGCACUGAUUCUGGGCCAGGCCAGACACCCAGCUGGACCCAGGAGAUACUGAGGUGAGUAAAGCCAAAAUGCCUCCAUUCAGCAGGAGGCGGGCAGUCACACCAAAGUGAUAAAGGCACAAAAUGCAGAGGCAGCAGAGGAGCAAUGACUACCUUGUUCCAGGACUCUGUGACCUCAGGGAGAGCUUUCAGAGGAGGACAUCUGUGCAAGGCUUGGAAGGAUGAACACAAAUUUGCCUAGCAGAAAAGGGAGCCAAGCAAAUCCUGAUGGAGAACAGCUUGGGUGAGAGUGUGAGCCACAGGAUUGAGGGGCUCAGGCAUGUAACUGGAGGAGCAGAAAGAAUGAGGGGAGAUAAAGUUGGGAGGUCAGCAGAGGUCAGUCACAGAAGGUUUUGAAUCCUGGUGAGGAAGCAAUGGGUGCUGCACAAGGGACAUGGGCCUGGAGGAGAUGCAGUUAGCUCUGAGUGAAGAUGGAGCAUGCCAUCCACCAGGGAACCACAAGAUGCAAUAGAAAUAAGAACCCUGAGAAGCCUGCACAAAGAAUGAGGGGCCCAGGGGUAGCACCAAGAAGGUCCCUGUCAGAGGCCAGCUUUGAACGGAGACAGAAAAGACUCUUGAGGGCCUCAGCUGCUGCAAACCUCCUCAAUAAAUCAUAUUUUACCUUCCAAUAUUUGCUAAAGAAUACUAACUAUUGGAAGAGCAAUGGCCCAUUGAUAAUAAUUAUUCCCUCAAUGUACAUUUUUUACAAUUCUCAAAAUGCUCUCGGUCCAGUCUCUCAUUGGAACCCCCAUAAAAUCCCAUUUUACAAAUAGGGAAAUGAGGCCCUGUGAUGUCACACCGAGGUUUGCAGCAGUUCCAGGAUAGAAAAUAGGAAGCACUUUCAUCUCAGCCCUGGGUAUAAGUCUCAAAAUUCCUUUUCGGGGAGGGGAUCCUUGAGGCCAUCCAGCAGCCCAUAGUCCAAGUCUUUUUCUUCCUCCUUGGGCUUCUCCACACCUGUAUCCAAAGCUUCCUUCUCCUCCUUUGUUCUCAGGUACCACUACCAGUUGUUGGGCAGGGAGACCUCCUGCUGCUGCCCAUCCUAUGUUGCAUCCUCCAACAUGGGUGCACUGUGGUUCAGCCAGCACCUAUACCACCUGCAGCCCAGGGCUCCUGUGGUGGGCCUGAGGUUCCUCCCUAUCAAAUGGAGAUAUGCUGGGGUUGCUGCCUUUGCUGAAGCCCAUGUCCAGGUCAUCUUGGGGGUGGCCAAGGUUACAGGGUCCUGGGGACAGGCCAGAGGGCUGCAGGAGCAAAAACCAAGAGGAUGAGGGGAUCUGUGAGACAGACCGCCUGAAUCCACAUCCUAGAGACUAGGUGCAAGGCCUGGGGAAGACUGGUUCACCUCUCUGGGCGUCAGUUUCCUCCCCUGUAAAGUGGGAGUUAUAACAGAUUCACUCCUACAGUUGUCUCUGAGCUUUAUGGCAGGUAAUGUGUGCAAAGUACUUCGCACAAGGCCUGGCACAUGGUAGGUGAUAAAUAAUAAACAGGGUUACUAUGAUAUCAUCAUCUGAGCUAGGUCACUCAUGCACUUCUCCAAUGCUUCAGGGUGCCCCUCCAUCCCUCACAGGGUAGCAGCAAGUGCUACCCCAGCAGGAUGUGAUAAGGAAGUCAGGCGGUUGGGGAGGAUGUUUCUCGCAGCCCAAACCCCAGUGGAAUGUUUCCCUCUGAACAGGGUCUGUGAAAUGGUGGGGGCUUACAAAUCGGUGCAGCUUGGACUAACAGGCUCCGGCGGCCACUUUGUUUUCUGGACAUGCUUUGGACUGUGAGCCGAGCCUCUAUGAAUCAUCACUUCAGCCUCUGAUUGGUCCUGGGCCAAACUUUCACUUCAGCCCCUGAUUGGUCUUGGGCCAAAAUUUCACUUCAGCCUCUGAUUGGUCCCAGGCUAAGGUCCCGGGCCAAGCGAAGUCGUGCUAUCUCCAAGACAGCUCACAGACCAGUGAGCACAUUCUUCCUCUUCCCAGUUCACAAAACCCCCAGAUUCAGCCUCCUAGUUGGCAACCCUCUUUCGGGUCCCCUCUCUGCUGGGGAGAGCUUUCUUCUUUUGCUUAUUAAACUUCUGUUCCAAACUCA